rnacentral:ribozyme from 11 species
UACAUUUGCUUUCUUAAUACAGCUUCUGAACAAAGGAAGAAAGAUAAACACAUAACAUGGGCUGAUACAUCUGGUGGCUCUUUAUCUGUUUCACAUAAGCUUGAAUCAAACGGGGAUAUUCAGAAGAAUUUUGAACAAGAAGUGAAGAAUGAA